rnacentral:rRNA from 1 species
AUUGAACGCUGGCGGCAUGCUUUACACAUGCAAGUCGGACGGCAGCAUAAAAGAGCUUGCUCUUUUGAUGGCGAGUGGCGAACGGGUGAGUAAUGCGUCGGAACGUACCGAGUAGUGGGGGAUAACUGUCCGAAAGGAUGGCUAAUACCGCAUAUUCUCUGAGGAGGAAAGCAGGGGACCUUAGGGCCUUGCGCUAUUUGAGCGGCCGAUGUCUGAUUAGCUAGUUGGUGGGGUAAGAGCCCACCAAGGCGACGAUCAGUAGCGGGUCUGAGAGGAUGAUCCGCCACACUGGGACUGAGACACGGCCCAGACUCCUACGGGAGGCAGCAGUGGGGAAUUUUGGACAAUGGGCGCAAGCCUGAUCCAGCCAUGCCGCGUGUAUGAAGAAGGCCUUCGGGUUGUAAAGUACUUUUGUCAGGGAAGAAAAGCCUGAGGAUAACACCCUCAGGUCAUGACGGUACCUGAAGAAUAAGCACCGGCUAACUACGUGCCAGCAGCCGCGGUAAUACGUAGGGUGCGAGCGUUAAUCGGAAUUACUGGGCGUAAAGCGAGCGCAGACGGUUAUUUAAGCAAGAUGUGAAAGCCCCGGGCUCAACCUGGGAACUGCGUUUUGAACUGGGUAACUAGAGUGUGUCAGAGGGGGGUAGAAUUCCACGUGUAGCAGUGAAAUGCGUAGAGAUGUGGAGGAAUACCGAUGGCGAAGGCAGCCCCCUGGGAUAACACUGACGUUCAUGCUCGAAAGCGUGGGUAGCAAACAGG